rnacentral:rRNA from 1 species
AGAACGAACGCUGGCGGCACGCCUAACACAUGCAAGUCGAGCGCCCAGCAAUGGGAGCGGCGGACGGGUGAGGAACACGUGGGAAUAUGCCUUUCGGUUCGGCACAACUGCGGGAAACUGCAGCUAAUUCCGGAUACGCCCUUACGGGGAAAGAUUUAUCGCCGAAAGAUUAGCCCGCGUCUGAUUAGCUAGUUGGUGAGGUAAUGGCUCACCAAGGCUUCGAUCAGUAGCUGGUUUGAGAGAACGACCAGCCACACUGGGACUGAGACACGGCCCAGACUCCUACGGGAGGCAGCAGUGGGGAAUCUUGGACAAUGGAGGAAACUCUGAUCCAGCGAUGCCGCGUGAGUGAUGAAGGCCUUCGGGUUGUAAAACUCUUUUACCAGGGAAGAUAAAUGACUGUACCUGGAGAAUAAGCUCCGGCUAACUUCGCGCCAGCAGCCGC